GUCUAAAUAGUUUAAAGAAGAACAUUAGUUUGUGGGGCUAAUAGUGGAAGCUUUCCUUUAGACC
rnacentral:tRNA from 1 species